UUUUGUCACUGUUUUGGAUUUAGGCAAGCAUUUUUUCGGCUGUUCGUGCACACAAGAUUUUUUCCUGAGGCAAGCCGAAGUCUAUACCCCUUCGUCGGUGAUUGGUCAGCAGUAGGGAUUCUUCAAUGAAGUGUUGGUUGUCAUUGAACUAGAGAAGAUGACACAUUGCAACAUUGUUGCAAAGGAGGUGCGAUGACACAAAAGCGUAAGAAUGGCGGUCUUCUUGCUCUCUUGAGAAUCUCAAAAUGGAGUCGGUUGGCAGCGGUGAGCUCUCUGAGUUUGAGCCAGACCAGGAUGAAGUGGGCCUACCUGCAGCGACCGGUGUGGUAAAGACUUCCAAUGUUUGCCCUGUGAAUCCUACCGGAGAAGAAUUUGGAAUGGUGGGAGUGAGAUUUUUGGAAAGAGUGGAUUGCUACUUUUUGGCCGACCCAUACGUUGUGUCAAGCUGGGUAAAGGGAAAACUGGGAAUGGAUACAUACGUGAAAGUUUCGAGAAGUGGAUUUGUUUAUUUUUUGUGCAUCCUCCACCCAGAGGAAACCUGUGGCGUGCUUUGCUCUCCGGAACGAACGGAGCGCCGCUCAAAGGGGUGCUCAGUGGGGUAGCGUUGAGUGUAGAGGUGGAUCAAAUGAAAAAUAAUGUUCCUGGUGUUUGUGACGCCCGCUGUUUAGUGAGACGUGGACCCGGUGGCAAUGGCAAGUCUGAGAAUACCCUGUCGGUCUUAUUGAGCUUUGACACAGAGUGUCUACCUGAUAAGAAACAUUGCUCGGAUCUUGUCCCCUGGACCUUGGAGGACUUUGUGUGGAUGAUCAGGGCCUACCAAAGCAAGGUUUCUCAAACAACUGUGGGGUGUUUGUUUUGAUGAGCUGGAUGCUGAUGUGACGUGGUGUGUCUUCUACAUCCUGAAAUAUAUUCCUGGAGGGGAGUUUUAUUAGUUAUAAUAACUAACAUAACUAUCAAACUUAACUUACAGUAUGCUCUGUACAUUGCUAUGGAAGCACAGUGUGAUUUCACUGAGGUAUGUAUAAAUUAUGAAAUUCUCAUCACUAGUGGAUAUGUUUUUUGGGAUACUCAUCCGAUUGUGUGAUUUUCUUUUAAAGGAAAACAUGCAGCAAAUUCGGCGACGGUGGUGCCUAGUUUUCCUGCAGAACUUUCCCACGCCGUCUGAAGAAGAGAGGUUGAAAGAUGGAAAAAGGUGGUGAAAUCAAAACACACUACAGGAUGAUGUAGAUGUCACCCCAGGAGGUCACAUCAGCAUCCAGCUCUGCAGGACCAGGUACUGUAUAGGCUAUUAGCUAAAGUAAGGUGCAUUCCUGUAAACACAUCCCUACAGGUUCCCGUACAUUACGUAAUGACCACAAUCUGUUUUCUUUCUAGACGAUACUGAAAACAUGCGCUGUGAACUGGGUAAGUAGUCUGUGUGUAAUACUGAAUACUUGACAAGAUAUAAUAGUUGUGAUGACUUGUUGAGUAGUUAUCGAUAUCACUGAAAACCCCUUUAGUAAUAGUGGCUUUUGUUUGCAUGGUGGUAUUGUGAAAGUGGGGUGUAAUUUGUCUUGAUCACCCAAUGAGGCACUACUCUUAAUAUUUAUUAUUUUUCUUCAAGGAAGCAGAUGUUCUUCUAAGGGACACCCUCGAGUCAGCAAGGUGGUGCGAACGCCAAACAUUUAAAGGCACUGUUUCCCUCCCUAGUGUAAUUGGGAUGGACGGGGAAGACCGCAUUACAACCCUUAAAGAACUACAGUUGUAUGAUGGCCUGGAUGAAGAGGAAACUAUUCUCCUCAAGGAACCAGUCAUGUUACAGAGAGAUUGAGAUGUUCUAUGUGGAGGCAGUUGACAACAAGAAAAUGACUGUCUUUGCCUCUUCUGAGGAGCAGGAGUGAAGACAUUUUUGAGGAGUGGUCAAACCUCGUUUUUGUCUGCUGUGUAAAUUGUGUUAUGUUGUUUAGUAAAGAUGACGUAGAAGUCACCCGAGUCUCUGAUCUCUUUACUGGAGCUGGUAUAACUUAAUGUACAAAGCACAUUCAGCUUGUCAGUAUGUCUAUAUGGUAUAGUCUGUCUCCAUUCUCAUGAGGAAAGUAAAUAGCAUUAUAAAUCAGAAUAGGUAGUAACAGUAAAUGCUCAAUGAAAUAUAAUUCAAGUUAACAUUUAUCAACAAUUUUAACAGUACAUGACAUACAUAAGUCUGUUCACAACAACAUCAGUAGCUUGUCUCAUAGCAUGAAGCAAAACGUGUUAACAUAUCUGCUGGUACCACUUUAUAAUAUUUCUUACGAUCAUCAAAAAUUAAAUACGUUUGAAUUCAAUAUGUGCCUUGCGCAAACGUGUGUGUUCAGUGUGUGACUGUCAUAUCAGAUGGACAAAAAGGUGGGCGGGGUCAAACGUUUGACUCCGUCCACAUUGAGACCAGCCCUGAAUUGCACACUGCAGCCAGGGAUACUUGCAUAUUUUGGUGCGAAGUUCUCCAUGUUAAACAGGACAUCACAGGUGUUAUUCAACCAGACCCCAUGCCAUCUCCUAGGUAUUGUUCCUGUGGAUACACUCCAAUCCUCUCCAUUUAAAUUGAUAGAUUCUUUAAGCAACCGCAAUGAAAUGUGUAACAAAAUGCUGGGAAAAUGAACAUGCACCCUCAAGAUGUGGUUAGGUCUAUGCGGGGAACUUGUUGACAUGGAGAGAAUUACAUCAAUCUUGCAACAUAGGUAAGGUCAUCAAGGACAACCACCCGAGCCACUGCCUGUUCAUCCAGAAGGCGAGGUCAGUACAGG